rfam:Coccomyxa subellipsoidea C-169, whole genome shotgun sequence.
GAUGUCGUGACCGAGUGGUCUAAGGUGCUGGCUUUAGGCGCCAGUCCGAAAGGGCGUGGGUUCGAACCCCACCGACAUCA